rnacentral:rRNA from 1 species
GUCCACGCCGUAAACGAUGGGCACUAGAUGCUUGGGGGAGCGACCCCCUGAGUGUCGACGCUAACGCAUUAAGUGCCCCGCCUGGGGAGUACGGCCGCAAGGCUGAAACUCAAAGGAAUUGACGGGGGCCCGCACAAGCGGUGGAGCAUGUGGUUUAAUUCGACGCAACGCGAAGAACCUUACCUAGGCUUGACAUAGCCGAGAAAGCCUCCAGAAACGGAGGCCCCUCUUCGGAGUUCGGUUACAGGUGCUGCAUGGCUGUCGU